AGAGGGCGCGGUCUGGAGCGCUCCGAACAUCCCACCGCCGGCGCCGGCGCCAGCGCCGCCGACCGGAGCCGGGCCUUGCUCGUGCUCUCGCGAGAUGAGCUGUAAUCUCGGCGGGGCUCGGGAGUGGGGGCUUAAUACACAGCGGAAUCUGGAUCCUCUACUCAGCCAGCCCGGGGCAGAUUUCCUGCAGGAGGCAAACCCUUUCCUACUCCCGCCCCGCCUCUGGACAGUCUCGAGGGGGGUCUGCAUGGCUCAUUCCUUCACCUCUUUCAAGUCCUUUGCUCAGCAGUCAUCUAUUCAGUCUCAGUGAAGCCUUGCUGGACUCCCUAUUUAAAAUGACUGAUAAGGUGUAACCUCACAUUCAGUUCUCUUUCUUCGACCACAUAAGAAGGUGCCAACGGCAGUAUAAUCAUGUGACUCGUGACGUAUCCGGUCCUGCGAACAGUGACCCGAAACGCGUCUUCAGAUGGAGCGUACCCUUGUAUUUGUAUCACGCUGUUUGUGGUUGCUCUCGCCCCCGUCGGGUAUCAGCAGUAGGCCAGUGAACUGUGAAGAUGCAGCAUCAAAGGACGGAAGAAGUGAGUGCACAGGUUUUGUAAGUAUUAUUUAAAGAGGAAAAACACUGGUGGAGAUCUGUGAAGGAUCCACCAACAAACAUCUUAACGACAAAAGAAUGAAAUUAUUUCUGAAUGCCUUGUAAGCACUAUUUCUUUUGACUAUCUCAGACCUGAAUAACUAAAUUACAUGUUCCAAAUCAAGUUUUUUACUUACUAAUUUUCAAAUAUAAAUUU